UACGUAGGGGGCUAGCGUUGUCCGGAAUCAUUGGGCGUAAAGCGCGCGUAGGCGGCCCGGUAAGUCCGUUGUGAAAGUCAAAGGCUCAACCUUUGAAAGCCGAUGGAUACUGCCGGGCUAGAGUCCGGAAGAGGCGAGUAGAAUUCCUGGUGUAGCGGUGAAAUGCGCAGAUAUCAGGAGGAACACCAAUUGCGAAGGCAGCUCGCUGGAACGUUACUGACGCUGAGACGCGAAAGCGUGGGGAGCAAACAGG
rnacentral:rRNA from 1 species